CCUACGGGGCGCUGCAGUGAGGAAUAUUGGUCAAUGGACGAGAGUCUGAACCAGCCAAGUAGCGUGAAGGAUGACUGCCCUAUGGGUUGUAAACUUCUUUUAUAUGGGAAUAAAAUGUUCCACGUGUGGGAUUUUGUAUGUACCAUAUGAAUAAGGAUCGGCUAACUCCGUGCCAGCAGCCGCGGUAAUACGGAGGAUCCGAGCGUUAUCCGGAUUUAUUGGGUUUAAAGGGAGCGUAGGUGGAUUGUUAAGUCAGUUGUGAAAGUUUGCGGCUCAACCGUAAAAUUGCAGUUGAAACUGGCAGUCUUGAUUACAGUAGAGGUGGGCGGAAUUCGUGGUGUAGCGGUGAAAUGCUUAGAUAUCACGAAGAACUCCGAUUGCGAAGGCAGUUCACUGGACUGCAACUGACACUGAGGCUCGAAAGUGUGGGUAUCAAACAGGAUUAGAUACCCGGGUAGUC
rnacentral:rRNA from 1 species